CACUCCCUCUCGUCGGUCUAUCACUUUCUCAAGGAUUUAGGACUUGGGAUGGAGAGCUAGUGGGUGGGCGUGAAUCACCUGCUGAAAACCUGACCAAUGAGGAGCGAACGAUACAGCGGCCAUCUUGGUAAAGGAAAAGGAACAAGGAAGAAGGCGGAACCAAUGACCAAGCUAAGCUGGAGUUGGAAUUACCCAAUGAAGUUGUUUCUUGAGAAGGCUACUGUAAAACCAGUAACAUGAAGGUGAAUCUGUGGUUUGGAGCUCCACCUAUAGUUAGUUUGAAGACUGGCCUCUCUCAUCGCCAAGAAAAACGAUCACUUUGGAAAAUGAGUCCUUAUGCAUGCUUGGAAAGAUGUUUAAUAUGUAUAUAUUUCUAAAUUUAUGUUUAAAUCUGUACAUGAGGAAUCCAUUUUAUAUUAGACAUAUUUUCUUUUGUUACCUGCUUGCUAGAUGUGGACUAUAUAGUUUAUUUUCCAAUAAUUCAAA